GGACAAGCCAUUUUCGGUAAUUAUAGUGUAAUCUAUGCAUUUUCUAUAAGGUUGUGUUGGAUAACACAUUCCAAAUGCAAGGAUUUGAAUUUUGAGUUUUCAGUUCAAAUUGUAUACAUCAUGAUUUGAAGUUACUAAGGGAUGAGAAAGGAAAAACAUGUUUCAAUUCUGCAUUUGAAAUACUGGCACCUUAUAGGAUGAUUUUGUUUUUCCCGUUUUUUUUUUUUUCU
rnacentral:misc_RNA from 1 species